GUAGUUGGGCCUAUGACGGAAAGGUCAUAAGGUGGCGGGUUAUAGAUUUGUUGGCCUGGAUCUGAAUCAUGAAGCCAAGUUUUAAAAAAAGAACCCUAAUUUGUUCUAAAACAGUUGCUUCCCAUUUUCUUACGAAACACACUCGUCAAACUCACCACAAGAAAAAGAUCAACUCUCACGAUCUCUCUUUCUCUCUUCUAAAAUCGUGCAUCCCCCAUUCAGUUUGCAUAAACCACAAUUUUCGUCCUAAACAAAACUCUCCCUCAUCUCUCUUAUAUGUAAUUGAGAUUUAGAGAAAACAAGCUAGCAAAAUCCCCUGGUAAAAAAAUCAAAAUCAACCUCAGAAACUAAGUCCUCUCAAACACGACACUUUACAUGUUAUGGAAAAUAUAGCAACAUCAAAAUGCACAAAAAAAAGGAAUUGUACAUAAAAGAAAGAAACAAAACAAAGGCGACACAAGACAAACGAAAAUGGUUACAAUCCCAAAGCAAGUAGUAUAUGAGAAAGGAUGCAAAAAACGAGCUACUUAUUUGACUAACAGUUCUGACGCAAAUACCAGGUAAUAUUGCUUUUUUCAAUUCCAUUGCUUUUCCUUUUUGCUUGCGUGUAUGACUGUUUUUUUCUUCCUACCGUUUGUUAUCAGUUCACUAGGACCCCUACUUAUCAUUGUAUCUUCAUGUUUAUCUUAACGUACUUUUCUUGAAAGUGGCUAGUUUUUUUUACAGUUCAAUAUGUUAUGAUGUAGCUAGGUUUUUUGAUGAUGUUCAAAUUUACUGGGAUAUCUGUUGUUUGAUGGCUGCCUCUUGGGUUUCUUUUUUCUCCUUCUUUUAAUGUUAUGUUAAUGUUACUUUUAUACAGUGAAGAUUAGGGUUUGAGAUGUAUGUUUGCUGCAGAAAAAAGAUGAGAGUUGUAAUGGUCUAUUAUACUUUCUAAAAUGUCAUAUUGGUCUUGCCAUUUUAGUGUAAGCUUAUGUUGUGUAUCAAAAAUGAAAUGAUUUGCUUUGCAUUUUUCUAUUUUGACUUUUUGCUUGGUACUUUCUUUCCAUAAUCAUGCUAACUUGCUGCUUUUUUUCUGCUUGCAUAAGACAAAACAAGUGCUCAAAUGGUGUAUGAGGUGUUGUACUAUGUUUCUACGUGGGCUGAAUUUUUUAUGCUCCACUAUUCAUGACAGCAAGCCACAAUAACAUAUAGAGCUCAAAGUUGAGAGGAUCCAUUUGAGAAAGCCCUCCCCCUUUAAUUAAUUUAAAAAUUGAUGUAAAUACCACUUAUGUAUUAUGUAAAAUAAAUAAAUGAGAGAUUAAUCUUGAUAGCAAAAUGUUUUCUUAAUAUAAUGGUGUUUAAUUAUUUG
rnacentral:lncRNA from 1 species